GAUGAAGAACGUAGCGAAAUGCGAUAAGUAAUGCGAAUUGCAGAAUUUCCGUGAGUCAUCGAAUCUUUGAACGGACAUUGCGCCCGCCAGCACUCUGGCGGGCAUGCCUGUUCGAGCGUCAUUUCAACCAUCAAGCCCCCAGGGGCUUGUGCUGGGGCCCUGCGGCUGCCCGCAGGCCCUGAAAACCAGUGGCGGGCUCGCUAGUCACACCGAGCGCAGUAGCACAUCUCGCUCUGGGCGUGCGGCGGGCUCCUGCCGUGAAACCCCCCACUGUAACCCCAAAGGUUGACCUCGGAUCAGGUAGGAAUACCCGCUGAACUUAAGCAUAUCAAUAAGCGGAGGA
rnacentral:misc_RNA from 1 species